rnacentral:rRNA from 1 species
GUCGAGAAUCUUCGGCAAUGGGCGAAAGCCUGACCGAGCGACGCCGCGUGUGCGAUGAAGGCCUUCGGGUUGUAAAGCACUGUCGAGGGGGAGGAAAGCCGUAAGGUCUGACCUAUCCCUGGAGGAAGCACGGGCUAAGUUCGUGCCAGCAGCCGCGGUAAGACGAACCGUGCGAACGUUGUUCGGAAUCACUGGGCUUAAAGGGCGCGUAGGCGGUUUACCAAGUCGGGGGUGAAAUCUUUCGGCUUAACCGGAAAAGUGCCUUCGAUACUGGUAAACUCGAGCGAGGUAGGGGCAGAUGGAACUUCCAGUGGAGCGGUGAAAUGUGUUGAUAUUGGAAGGAACGCCGGUGGCGAAAGCGAUCUGCUGGACCUCUUCUGACGCUGAGGCGCGAAAGCUAGGGGAGCGAACGGGAUUAGAAACCCCGGUAGUCC